rnacentral:rRNA from 1 species
CACGUCGCCUAUAAAACAGUAGAGUGCGCAUUUACUCUCGGGUGCGAUCAUACCAGCACUAA